GAUGAACGCUGGCGGCGUGCUUAACACAUGCAAGUCGAACGGAAAGGCUCCUGCUUGCAGGGGUACUCGAGUGGCGAACGGGUGAGUAACACGUGGGUGAUCUGCCCUGCACUUCGGGAUAAGCCUGGGAAACUGGGUCUAAUACCGGAUAGGACGACGGUUUGGAUGCCAUUGUGGAAAGUUUUUUCGGUGUGGGAUGAGCUCGCGGCCUAUCAGCUUGUUGGUGGGGUAAUGGCCUACCAAGGCGUCGACGGGUAGCCGGCCUGAGAGGGUGUACGGCCACAUUGGGACUGAGAUACGGCCCAGACUCCUACGGGAGGCAGCAGUGGGGAAUAUUGCACAAUGGGCGCAAGCCUGAUGCAGCGACGCCGCGUGGGGGAUGACGGCCUUCGGGUUGUAAACUCCUUUCGCUAGGGACGAAGCGCAAGUGACGGUACCUGGAGAAGAAGCACCGGCUAACUACGUG
rnacentral:rRNA from 1 species